GAUGAACGCUGGCGGCAUGCCUAAUACAUGCAAGUCGAACGACCAGAUGAUGAGCUUUUUCCUCUACCGUUAGCGACUGGCGGGUGAGUAACACGUGGAUCACCUACCUCUUAUACUUGGAUAACUUCGUGAGACCGGUGCUGCUACCACCUCAUAUAUUGAACCGCAUGAUUCAAUAGUUCGACACGCUUUUGCUGUCUCUUUUAGCUGAAUCCGCGUCGGAUUAGCUAGUUGGUAAGGUAACGGCUUACCAAGGCGACGAUGCGUAGCCGACCUGAGAGGAUGAUCAGCCACACUGGAACUGAGACACGGUCCAGACUCCUACGGGAGGCAGCAGUGGGGAAUAUUGGACAAUGGGCGAAAGCCUGACGGAGCAACGCCGCGUGAGUGAAGAAGGCCUUCGGGUCGUAAAGCCCUUUUAUUGGGAAAGAAAAGAAGUAGGAUAAUACAUGGCCGUUUUGACGGUACCUAAAGAAUAAGCAACGGCUAACUUCGUG
rnacentral:rRNA from 1 species